rnacentral:rRNA from 1 species
UCCGCCCUUUUUAGUGCCGAAGCUUAACGCAUUAAGUAUUUCCCCCUGGGGAGUACGGACCGCAAGGUUUGAAACCUCAAAGGAAUUGACGGGGACCCGCACAAGCGGUGGAGCAUGUGGUUUAAUUCGAAGCAACGCGAAGAACCUUACCAGGUCUUGACAUCCUUUGAAGCUUCUAGAGAUAGAAGUGUUCUCUUCGGAGACAAAGUGACAGGUGGUGCAUGGUCGUCGUCAGCUCGUGUCGUGAGAUGUUGGGUUAAGUCCCGCAACGAGCGCAACCCUUAUUGUUAGUUGCCAGCAUUCAGUUGGGCACUCUAGCGAGACUGCCGGUGACAAACCGGAGGAAGGCGGGGACGACGUCAGAUCAUCAUGCCCCUUAUGACCUGGGCUACACACGUGCUACAAUGGCGUAUACAACGAGUUGCCAACCCGCGAGGGUGAGCUAAUCUCUUAAAGUACGUCUCAGUUCGGACUGCAGUCUGCAACUCGACUGCACGAAGUCGGAAUCGCUAGUAAUCGCGGAUCAGCACGCCGCGGUGAAUACGUUCCCGGGUCUUGUACACACCGCCCGUCACACCAUGGGAGUUUGUAAUACC